rnacentral:rRNA from 1 species
AAACUAACAAGGAUUCCCCUAGUAGCGGCGAGCGAAGCGGGAAGAGCUCAAAUUUGUAAUCUGGCGCUUUCAGCGUCCGAGUUGUAAUCUCUAGAAAUGUUUUCCGCGUUGGACCGCACACAAGUCUGUUGGAAUACAGCGGCACAGUGGUGAGACCCCCGUUCAUGGUGCGGAUGCCCAAUGCUUUGUGAUACAUUUUCGAAGAGUCGAGUUGUUUGG